rnacentral:lncRNA from 1 species
AUGGCCCCAAGCUGCUGGAGUUCAAGAAGCAUUUGGACAUCACUCUCAGAGAGAGGGUUCGAGCAUUCCUGUGUGCAGCCAGGAGCUGGUGAUCUCCAUGGAUUCCUCUCACCUCAGGAUGUCAUGUUGUUCUAUGAUCCAUUCCCAGGGUGUGGGAUGCUGGUGCCAGCUGGGAAAACUGCACUGAAGACCAAUGGUUGGACAGCAGGAGCUGGGCACAAGCAGGCACCGGGUAGUGCUGGGCUUGGCUCACAAGAAGGUCCCUGCAAUGCAGUGUGGCCAUGGGACAACCUGGGGGUGAAUUGGGAUCCACGCGCAGCCGAGGUGGUUUUGGUGCAGGAAGGAAUCCGCUCCGACCAUCAAACAGGACGACAUGCAGAGCAGGCUGGAGGAAGUAAAAGAGUUCUCCUUUGUGUUUUUGGAGGCCCAUUGGGUCAGAAAUGUGGGUGGAAAACAAUCCACAGUGUUACAUCUCAAGCAAGGUGCUCUCAGGGAGAUCAAAGCUCCAUUGCUGCCAGCCAGGAUGAUUCCCACUCCUUGCAAGAGGCCUCACCGCAGCGAUGCUCUGCCCCAGCUUGGGAUUUCUCCAGAGACCCGGACACGGUAACCACGGAAACUCAUUUCACAGGCAGAGGGAGUCGAAAAAUACGGGAGCACCACCAACAAACACUGUGUCUAAUCAUCUCCCCUAAGUGUGACAUUAAAAGAGCCGUGUGAUGAUGCAUAGCUGAAAUAGAGGAUUUCAUUAGUGUCUGCUUCAUAAAACACUCUCUUUCUUAUUAGGGUGUGCUCACAUUGGGACCCAUGGUGCAAAGUGCUGCAGAAGUCACAGCCCACACGUGGGAGCGUUUGGGAGCACAGUGAGAUGAGAGUGGCCCAAAGGGAGGGCAGGGAUGUGGCACCGAGAAGACCAGGGAGAAGCAUCCCUGCAAGCUCCUGACAGGAUCUCUUCCUGCCCAACACACACAGCAGGGGGAAGAAAGAGAAAAUCAAAGGAAAGCAUGCACUAAAGAAACCAAAAGCCGUGGCAGGAAAAGCUGUGUCUCAGUUUCCCCAGUUGCUUUAUCUAAAAAGCAGCAGAGAGCAGUGUUCUGCCAGGUGUUAACCUCCACAGGUCCCUUUCAAAGGGGUUCAGCACUGCAGUGCCUCCAUCACUGCCAGCCCUGCUGCCAUUGCUCUCAAGCUUCCAGACCUCAGGAUUAGCCAACCCACCUCACCGCUGCUGCCCACAUUUUUCUCCAGCAAGUGAACCUCCCCGUCCCUGCCUCCACCCACCCUUGUGUUUGAAGACCUUCAUGUUCUUGUCCUCCAACCUGCCAGGGGUGGCACCUUGGAAGGCCCAUGGGUCUGUCCGAGGGUGAAGCAGGGAGCAGGGACAAGAGAGGCAGAGGGGAAGCAGAGGUAGAAGAAGAACGAGGGAGCACGUGGGGAUGGAGUGGGAGGGCUGGCAGCUCCAUGGUGUCUUGAGGAGCAGCCCAGGUUCUGUCCCACUGCCCCCCGAGCAUCUCUCUAACCAGGACAGCCUUGGCACAGGCUUCAGCCAAGCUUUGUUGCGGGCCAGUGGAUCCUGUUCUUAUCCAGUUCCUACACAUGCUACUCCUGGAAACAGCUCAGCUUCUCACAUACAGUGCUAGGAAGAAAGAAGAGAAAACAAAGAGGAGGGGGCAGAGAACAGCAGGGAGGGAAGUUCAGGGAAUGCUCUCUGGCAGGAUGAGCCCAGGGAGGGUGGCUGCAGUGGGCUGUUGUGAGUGGCAGCACCGGGCAGGAGGAGGAAGGAGGUGACUUCAUCUCGUUCCAAAGAGCUGACAGAUAGCAGAGGAUAAAAGCUUGGGAAUCCCUCAGCUCCAGUGAGCAGAGCUCUAAGCUGCCAAGAACAGAGAAGGAGAUGGAAGCUGGGGUUUGAAUUGCAGGCUCAGCCUCCUGCCCUGGGUCUUUCCCACGCCAGUGAAAACAUCCAAAGAGUGCCACAGCCGACAGGAGCCAUGCUGGGAGGGAAACGGCUGCGACAGCCCCAUUGCCCCAGUGCUCGCCGGCUGCCAGCGGCCUGCAGAGCUCUGGGAGGAGGAAGGGGAACAUCUGCAGCCGCUGAGCUGUGCCAUCCAUCACACACAGCUGCGUGGCAGCACAGCGAGUGCAAUGACUGCACAGCUCCUCCAGCUCUGCCUGGUAACCUGCCACCCUCCCCUGGACACGGUCCUCCCUUUGGUCCCCAGGACAUCCCCUUCUGCUGUGGGGUGGUUCUGCAGUCACCCCAGGCUGCCUGCACAUCCCAUUGCUCCUCAGCACACCGGAACGCAGCAGCUGAUGGGCUGCUCACAGCGUGGGAGGGCACUGCUGGGACAGCGCGGUGCCAUUUGGUGCUGUGGGGGAUGUGAGGGAUGGUGGCCCAAACCUUCUGAGCCCCCGUUGUUCCCAGCCUGUGUCCCACUGGCUGCUCCCUGCUUCCUCCUGGGGCUGCUGCAGUCCCCAGCAGUGCUGCACGAGGGACGUUACCGGAGGGUUUUGACGCAGUAGGUUUCAAACCCUAAAAGAAACUUCACUUCUUUCCCCUCUCACUCUCUUUUUCAGCUGCCCUUGAUUCUGUAAACCCCAGGCCUAACCUCCAGCUGCCAUUUGGAAAGAAAAAAACCAUAAUCAAAGUAAUUACCACCUCCACUUCAGACAUUACAUUAUCAAGCUAACCAGCUACCCAUUGAAGACAAUUAAUCUGCACAGAGGCACCAAAAGAAACUGUCAGCAAUUAGAAGUGGAAGCACACUUUUGUAGUUAAUUGGGAAUAUUGCACGUCUGUUACAUCUUUAAUUAGUUGAUGGAGUGUGUCCCUUCUCAGACAUUUUUCUUUUUUAAAUUAUACCUGGAAUCAACUUUUUUUUUUUUUUUUUUUUUUUUUUUCCUGCCAUGAAGGAAAUAAAUAAACAGUGUUUGGAACUGGAUUCUGGCUU